GGCGGGGUCCACGUCGGGGUGCGCGCCAAGUGUCCGGUUCCGGAACGGCUCCCAGCCUCCGCAGACACCAAAGCCCCCGACCCCAAGCAGGGGUUGACGACGCCGGAUUGGGUGGGAGGAGAGGGUCAGGGCAGGGGUCGCCGCGCCCCCAUUCCAGCCCUGCGUUCCUCGGGACUUUCUGGCGGCUUUUCAGGACUUCCCUCUCCGAGGCUCCGACUUUUCGCUUUCAGGACUGGUACCACCUUCACCAUCCCUCUCUUUGGGAUUUGUCGGCGGAAUCCGACCUCUCACCUAACUAGGAGCGCAGCUCUGGGCUCCUCCGACCCUAGACGAGGCCGGGCCGGGAAAGGGCCAGGCGUCCGAGUCUCCUGACGCCAGGAAGGCAGAGGCCACCCUCGGGCUGUCCCAGGGUGACCACUUCCUGCAGCCUUGGCGGAGUCCUGAGGACGAAGGCUGGGGACUCGGGAACUGGGGGGAAGGGCGGGGGCGGGACAGGUGAGGUGAGCUCUGCUAAGAAACCAAAUCCGCAAAGGUUCCAGCACCUGAUAAGAAUAGCUGCCUGAGGCCCUGGAGGGGCCUUGGUCAUUCAGCCCCAGGCAGGUGGUGCCCUCUUCAAGGGCAGGGGUGGACAGCGUGGUGGACCCCUUGACCCUCCCCUGACACCUGUCAGGUCAUCCUCAAGUCUGCUGUGCCUUCAGGGGGAUAUGAACGGAAGCCGGAAGCCGAGGCUCCUUUUCUCUUCACACACCCCCUUCCUUUGUUUAGUAUGGGGGCAAAGGUCUCUCCUAGCUGUUCAUUGGGCUCUAACCGAGAAGACGUCAGGUGGGGUCCUGCCCUUGUGUUUCCCAUUAGCUGGAGGGGUGACUUAAAAUAAAGGCAAACAGCUUCUAAUUGCUUGCUAGGGCCGGUCCUGGACUAAGUGCUUUACAGGUGUUUGGGGUCUGUGCCUCCCAACAGCCCCGUGAGAGAAAGUGAUCACUCGCAUUUCCAGGCCAAGGAAGCCAAGGCAUGGAGUGGUUAGGCUGCUUGUCUGAACUGCGUGGUGCUGAGACCCUAACUCCAGAGCCUGCUCACAUAAUCCCUGAGCCACACUGCCUCUCAUUUCAGCCAGGGGCUGUGUCAUUUCUUUUGUGCUCCAGGGUAGAGGUAAACAGUUGUCUGGGUUACUGGGUCCUGUUUGGUGUUGCCAUAACGUUUACUCUGCAACCUUAUUCUGCAUCUGAAAGACCAGAGUUAGCUCCUGAGGCAGAAGGCCUGGAGCAGCUUGUAGUUUUGCUAUGGUCAUCACAGGAUUGAAAGAUUUGGUGAUGAUAAAAUUACCCUGAAUUUGUACGGGCCUUCUUGCAAGAACCAACAAUAUCCAUAUACUUCCUGCAGCAUUGUGCUGGCAUUUCUAGAGCUUGUCAAGUUGGUCACCAGGCCAGUCUUUGCUGCCAAUGGAGACUGGGCAGUGGGUUAGCAUAGGUGGUUUACUUUGGCAAGUUCAGACAGCUGUUGGAUUUAGCCAUCUCCCACUGGCCACAGUCAGAUGCUUGCAUGCACAUGGGUUGAACUUUGGGUUGGGAGCGUGAAGUCACCUGCUGCCCACUCUGGCUUUUGGGCCUCAGCAGUAAUUCUUGGCUUUCCUACCCUCAGCAUAUUAAGUGGGAAUAAGGGGAUGAAUGGAGAAUUUCUGGAAGGCACAGAUAAGUGCUAGGCGUUCACAUACAUCUAGGAUGACUGAAUAUUCCCUGGGGUUCUCAGCCAGGCGGUGCCACUGCAACCACAGUGCCUAGCUGCUGGUUUGGCCUCCUCCACAUAGCUGCCAACUGGGUGCUCCCCUCCCCCUGCCUUCUCCUCAGUCUGGCAGCGCUGCUUCAUGGUGUCUGUGUUCUCAGCUGCCCGUGCACAACAUGCCUGUUUGUGAAGAUGCAGAGGAGCUGUUCUGUUGAGAGCCAGAGGGAUGGAGCUGUUUCAGUGGGAUCUGGACUUUACAUGUCUAAUGGGCAGGCACAGGCUGGGACUGAGCUGAAGGGUCUAAGAGAGACUGUGGAUCCCCAGAGCUGUGCCCUAACCUGGGUGCUCAUCGGAGAGGGCAGACAGGAUUGGCCACCUGAACUUACCUCCAUCUCAGGCUCAUAGUAUUUGCUAGCCACCUCCCUGAGUUCUUAUCAGACUUUGUCAAACCACCCUGGGAAGCCUAUUUGGCAAGAGACAAGUGACUUAGAGGCAUAACUGGGGCUGGAGGGGGAAGAGGAGGCACAGGUAUUUCCCUUCGCGGAGGCCUCUCUCCUUCUCUGCAGUCCUGGUGAGGGUUUGCCACUCCCAGCACCACCACAGCACCCUCCCCUUCCCAGGGACAAUGCUCCCUCUGUGAGCAUUUUAUGGGAUGUUUUUUCUUUCCACUUCACUUCUCAAGCCUUCCUUGUUCAUGCUGCUGUGUUCCUUUUUCCUAAUUCUAGCUCUUGGGGAACCUUGGGGAGCCUCCCCAGUAGCACUAGCCCUUGGGGCCCAGGUGAAGUCCUUUGCUUGGGGUCCUACCAUGAGCCCACAGCCUCCAGGGCUUCUGUGGGAGAGGGCUGCUCCCCUAGCCCCAGCAGGUCCUUGAGUUAUUGGUGAAGAGGAGAGAGGCUGGGUCCGCAGGUGGUGCUGGCUGAGGAAGGAGGAGUAGGGUCACACAGAGGAGCACUAACGGAUGGAGAGCCAGUUCUGGGAGUUUGGGGAGAGAUCCAGGCAGGAGGGAGCCCACUGGGCAGAACGUAAAGCUCCAUAUGGGCAGCAUGCAUACACGGGUGUGUGCUGGAGGGUUUCCAUCCAGACCCCUACACUGGAAAAGGGUGGCUCCCAUGUGAUGCUGGGUGUCUGUGAUCCUUCAGGAAAGUCUACAGGCUGGUACCCCAGGACUUCCUGGUCAGGAAAGCCCUGCAGGAAAUGAGUGUUAGUUCUGAGGCCUGGCCCUUCGCCGCUUAGGAGGUACUGGGGCUGCUUUUGCCUUUGCCAGAGACAGCUCCAACUGAGGACCUCCCCAACGGGUCCAUCCACAGUCCUUCCUUCCCCUAGCAUCUGGGAAGACAGGCAUGAUGGCGGACUCCCCAUUCCUGGAGCUGUGGCAGUCCAAGGCGGUGUCCAUCAGGGAGCAGCUGGGCCUCGGGGACCAGCCCAAUGACUCCUAUUGCUACAACUCGGCCAAAAACAGCACCGUGCUCCAGGGAGUCACCUUUGGUGGCAUCCCCACUGUCCUGCUCAUAGACGUCAGCUGCUUCCUGUUCUUAAUCUUGGUGUUUUCCAUUAUAAGAAGAAGAUUCUGGGACUAUGGCCGCAUUGCUCUGGUGUCAGAAGCAGACAGCGAGUCCAGAUUUCAGAGAUUGUCAUCAACUUCCUCCUCAGGGCAACAAGACUUUGAAAAUGAGCUGGGAUGCUGUCCCUGGCUGACUGCCAUCUUCCGUCUGCAUGAUGACCAGAUCCUGGAAUGGUGUGGGGAGGACGCCAUCCACUACCUGUCCUUCCAGAGGCACAUCAUCUUCCUGCUGGUGGUGGUCAGCUUUUUGUCCCUGUGUGUCAUCCUGCCCGUCAACCUCUCAGGCGACUUGCUGGACAAAGACCCGUACAGUUUUGGGAGGACGACAAUAGCAAACCUGCAGACUGACAAUGACCUACUUUGGCUGCAUACCAUCUUUGCCGUCAUUUACCUCUUCCUCACCGUGGGCUUCAUGCGGCACCACACUCAGUCCAUUAAGUACAAAGAGGAGAACCUGGUGAGGCGGACCCUAUUCAUCACAGGACUCCCCAGAGAUGCCAGGAAGGAGACUGUGGAGAGCCACUUCCGGGAUGCGUACCCCACGUGUGAAGUGGUUGAUGUCCAGCUGUGCUACAACGUGGCCAAACUGAUCUACCUGUGCAAGGAGAGAAGGAAGACUGAGAAGAGCCUGACUUAUUAUACGAACCUGCAGGUGAAGACAGGCCAGCGGACCCUCAUCAACCCCAAGCCCUGUGGCCACUUUUGCUGCUGCGAAGUGCUGGGCUGUGAGUGGGAAGACGCCAUCUCUUACUAUACGCGGAUGAAGGACAGGCUGCUGGAGAGGAUCACAGAGGAAGAAUGCCACGUCCAGGACCAGCCCCUGGGAAUGGCCUUUGUCACCUUCCAGGAGAAGUCCAUGGCCACCUACAUCCUGAAAGAUUUCAAUGCCUGCAAGUGUCAGAGCCUUCAGUGCAAAGGUGAGCCCCAGCCGUCCUCCCAUAGCAGAGAGCUCUGUACCUCCAAGUGGACAGUCACCUUUGCCGCUGACCCUGAGGACAUCUGCUGGAAGAACCUCUCUAUCCAGGGCCUCCGCUGGUGGCUACAGUGGCUGGGCAUCAACUUCACCCUCUUCCUGGGGCUGUUUUUCCUGACCACACCCUCCAUCAUCCUGUCCACCAUGGACAAGUUUAAUGUCACCAAACCCAUCCAUGCGCUGAAUAACCCGAUCAUCAGCCAGUUCUUCCCCACCCUCCUGCUCUGGUCCUUCUCGGCUCUGCUCCCCUCCAUUGUCUACUACUCUACACUGCUGGAGUCUCACUGGACCAAGUCGGGGGAAAACCAGAUCAUGAUGACCAAAGUCUACAUAUUCUUGAUCUUCAUGGUGCUGAUCCUGCCCUCCCUGGGUCUCACCAGUCUAGAUUUUUUCUUCCGGUGGCUCUUUGACAAAACUUCCUCGAAGGCUUCCAUCAGGUUGGAGUGUGUCUUCCUGCCUGACCAGGGUGCCUUCUUUGUGAACUACGUCAUCGCCUCGGCCUUCAUCGGCAAUGGCAUGGAGCUGCUGCGGCUGCCAGGCCUCAUCCUCUACACCUUCCGCAUGAUCAUGGCCAAGACGGCUGCCGACCGCAGGAAUGUCAAGCAGAACCAGGCCUUCCAGUACGAGUUUGGAGCCAUGUAUGCAUGGAUGCUGUGUGUCUUCACUGUCAUCAUGGCCUACAGCAUCACCUGUCCCAUCAUUGCGCCAUUUGACCCUGAUCCAGCGACGAAUGAAAGACAUACACUGACAGAUAUUUUGCCUGUCAGUGCGACUAAGGGGCUCUGCUGCCUGAGUCUGCACCCGUGGAUGAUCAAAGGCCUCAUCUACAUCCUGCUCAAGCACAUGGUGGACCGGCACAACCUCUACUUCGUCUACCUCCCAGCCAAGCUGGAGAAGGGGAUCCACUUUGCUGCUGUGAACCAGGCCUUGGCAGCCCCCAUCCUAUGCCUCUUCUGGCUCUACUUCUUUUCCUUCCUGCGCCUGGGUAUGAAGGCCCCUGCCACUCUGUUCACCUUCCUGGUGCUGCUGCUCACCAUCCUGGUCUGCCUGGCUCACACCUGCUUUGGAUGCUUCAAGCACCUCAGCCCUCUGAACUACAAAGUAAAGGUCCCCGACCCCACUGCCCCGUCAAGCCCUGGGAGGAACAGAUGGUGGGACGGGCUCGCUCUCAACGCCUCCCACCCUUGUCUGUAUCAACACAGCAGCAGCCUUCUCCAGAUUCUGCUUCUCCAUGGGAAAGGCGUGGGUGGUUGGGUGCCAUGUGUAGCUUCCCUUGCUCCCCUCAUCCCUGCACUCCCCCACCCCCAUCUUCUCUCGGGCUGCUGCGGAGCUUGGUGCCAGCUGGUACUAUUAUUCCGGGUGUUAAUAGUCUCUGUGUUUGGAGGGUGUUCAUUCACAGAGAUCAGUUUUGUUUAUCAUUGCAAGUUUUUGCUGUUAUCUGCAGACAGAAGAGCCUGCAAGUGACAAAGGAAGUGAGGCAGAGGCCCACAUGCCUCCACCGUUCACACCCUACGUGCCUCGGAUUCUGAACGGCUUGGCCUCGGAGAGGACAGCACUGUCUCCACAGCAGCAGCAGCAGCAGACCUAUGGUGCCAUCCACAACAUCAGCGGGACUAUCCCUGGACAGUGUUUGGCACAGAGCUCCAUGGGCAAUGUGGCUGCUGCCCCACAGGAGGCCUGAGGCCGGGUCUCACUGCUCCGAAAAGACACAACCAGAAUGGCCUGGGGCUCAGGCCCUUGGCUGAGCGGGAAUGUGUUGGGACUGCCCAGCUGAGCCAUCAGGUGCCCAUCUUUUCUGGUCCCAGCAGUGGUGAGGGGAGCACAUGCAGGCCUCACCCCUACCUUGCUCACCCAGUUCCCCCUCCGGCACAAGCUUGCGGCUCUGCAGCUGGGGUGACAUCCCCAGUGGUUUGUCGCCAAGACCAUGUGGUGGACUUUUCGCCCCCCAAACUGAUGAGUCUGGGAGAAUAUAUGGAGAGAGAGAUGUAACAAGGGGAAGGCCUCCUCCCUUCUGAGCACACACACAACCGAUAACCAAAGAGAUGCUGCAGUCCAGGUCUGAGAUGAGCUGGCGUCCAGCUCCCCGCUCCAUGGCCAGUCCCUCCCCAGCCCGGCACCCCCUCCAGGCUACACCCAGGAGUGAGCUAUGAGGAGCAGGCUGGGAGGCGGCCAGUGCUCCUGCCAGCUGUGCACACACCUCUGUAUCUCACUACAGUUCUGUGUUUUUGUAUCAUGUUGUCAGGGACACCCCAUAACAGGCAGGGACAAGGACCACUCAUAAUGUGCCCACUGGACCACAGUUAAGAUCCAGCCUCUCCCACCUCUUCAGGGCUGAGUGCAUGAGUCUGCACCUCCAGGCAGGCUCUGUGCAGUACUCACCCUCUGUCUGCUCCCUGCAAGGUGUGGGGGUGGGCAGUGCUCAGGGCCUCCUCGGAACCAAAGGACAGCGUGGUCGGCACAGAGGAGGGGGUGCCUGGGCUGGGUGCAUCCCAUUGCCCUUGAGCUGUGGCUCUGGCAGGAAGGAGGGGCUGUCCCUCUUCUCCCUCCUGGAGAGUCCAGGGGAUGGGAUGCAACUUAAGACUUCUGCCUGAGAAGCUUCCUCCCUAAGAAGCCUCCUCCCUGCUACCUCCAGGGGGCACCAAGGCACAAGCCUGUGCAGUGGGGGUGGGAGGGGGUGCGGAAGAGCAGGUCCAGGCUCCUUUCAGCCCAACUGGGCCAAGGCCUUGGCACCUCUGCAGGCCCUGCCUGUGCCUGUCCGCUGACCUGGUAGGCCUGGACUUUCUGACUCAGGGACCCUGUUGAUGCUGACUUGCGCCUGCAGUGGCGGCCAAUGCUGCCUCUGCCCCAAGCUGCCCCUGUGCUGGGAGGGGUGGGGGCAGUGCCAUUGGUCUGGUGCAGCACAGCCCUGGCCAGUGGCCUCAUCCCCAGUGGGCCUCCUGUGCCUCUGCCAGCAAGGAGGGGCCUGCCAGCUCUGCUUGGACAGGGGGCACCAUGUGGGGUCAGGGCAUGCUUAUGUCACUGGGUUCCAGCCACUGUUAGAAGUAAAGUCAUUUAUCAUCAA